rnacentral:rRNA from 1 species
AUGGGCGGGCACGGCGGGCUGAACAUCCUGCCGCAGAAGCGGUGGAACGUCUACAGGUUCGACAACCAGGAGAAGGUCCGCGUCGACGAGGCCGAGGCCGCCCGCCAGGACCAGCUCCAGCGCGAGGCCACCCGCCGCCGCGAGUCGCACGCCCGCCUCGUCGCGCUCCGCCGCAACCGGGGCCUCCAGUCCGACUCGCCCUCCCCUCCCCGUGCCCCAUCUCCACCCCCCUCCUCCGCCCGCUCCGCGGAUCAGGUCGCCCCGCUGCGGCCUCCACCCCCUGCUGCCCGGCCCGCGGUUCCAUCCCCCGUCGUCUCCGACGGAGACCACAUCAACCUCUUCUCCGGCGGCGGUGGGGCCGCUGACUUCGCCGCGCUUGCCUCCGCUAGCGGCGGGAGAGGCGCAGCUCGGGAGAGGGAGCCUGCGGCAGACACUAAGCCAAACCCUAAGAAGCGUAAGGAGGAGGUUAGGACGGCGGGGCCUGACGACGAAAAGUACAAGCUGGGUUAUGGCCUUGCCGGGAAGGGCGUGGCGGCGCCCUGGUACAUGUCGAAGCCUUUGGCUUCCUCCUCUAAGGAGAGGAGAGAUUACGCCGAGGGCAACGGAGAGAAGAGGAGUGGAGGGAAGAAGAGUAUCGAGGAGCUUAGAGAGGAGAGGAGGAAGAGGGAGGCCAAGGAGAAGGAGCGUGAGCGAGCCUUGCUUGCCACUACAGCAAGGAAGGAGAGGCAGCCAGACCGGGGGUACUCGUCGAGGUAUGUGCGACGAUGA